ensembl:snoRNA
AUGCACAUUUCAUUGUCCCAUUCUUUUCCUGUAAGAACUGAGAUAUUUCGAAUGUGCUAUAUAAACCCUGGAGGUAAAUUAGCGGUGUGGCUAUGAUGUGCCAAUACUGCCAGUCCCCUUCAUACAUAC